UUGGUAUAAACCAUGGCCUACUCUAAUCACGGCCCAUCAGCUGGCUAUCUCCCUGUAGCCUAAAAUGAAUUGUGAUAGCUCCGCCCAUUCAUAGCCAGAGGGUCGUAGUCCCUCUCAAACUUUUCCAAAUUCCACGGCUUCUUUCCACCUUUUAAAAUUUUCUGAAAUUCUGCCAUUGCCGUGCUGAAGUUCUGACGCCAUGAUAUGCAUCGCUCUGCCAGGGUGUUUUAGUGUUUGGUAAGUAUUUGUUCCUUAAUUUUUUAUCCUUAAUUUUUCUUGAUAACAUUCAUAGGACAAAACGCCGACACAAUGCAAAUAAAAACAAGUAAAAUGGGACGCAAGUACUUUUCAGAGAGCUAGACCAAGCCGGGCACUGUCUGAGGCCCAGCACACAAUGUGUAAUUUAUGUCAAAAGCGGCUGAGGAUCUGGGGGAGCCAACUGAAGUAGAUUAGUAAGAACAGGAACUUACUUUUAGUAAUGGGCAGAGCAUUGAAUUUUACAUACGAACAACAACAACAUCAGCUUGUGCAUUAUGUUCUGAGUGUUUGUCGAGUUCUUCUUCAAAAACAUUUACUAAAGCUUUGACAGCAUCUGUCAUCCGCUCCUCGGAUUUACAUAGAUUAAUGACUUGUAAUCCUAUUAAAUUUUCGAUGUCCUUCAACUUUUUCUCCAGACCAUUAACGUGACGUCGAAGUUUUCUAACCAACAUUCUGUUGUUUUUCAAAGGAAUCUUUGAGAAUUUAGAUAUUUUUGUUUUGCUAAGUUUCACCAAUAUUCUCAUCUUUCGUAAUGGGUCUAUGGAUUUUAUAUUUCCUGUUGUUUUCAAGUCGUUGAUAUCCAUGACCUUUUCGGACAUUUCAGUAACAGUCUUACUUGCAUCAACUUCUUUCAUAACAUUGUGGUUCCGAGCGGAAUUUAUUAGUGAUACUACUUCUUCGUCCAUAAAGCCACUAUUAUGGUUGCUUGCAGGUGUUGAAGAUCGAUAAUUAGAAUACAAAUCUUGUUCAUAGUGA